CCUACGGGGGGCAGCAGUAGGGAAUAUUGCUCAAUGGGGGAAACCCUGAAGCAGCAACGCCGCGUGGAGGAUGAAGGUUUUAGGAUUGUAAACCCCUUUUGUUAGAGAAGAUUAUGACGGCACCUAACGAAUAAGCACCGGCUAACUCCGUGCCAGCAGCCGUGGCAACACGGAAGGAGCAAGCGUUACUCGGAAUCACUGGGCGUAAAGAGUGCGUAGGCGGGGUAAUAAGUCAGAUGUGAAAUCCUGUAGCUUAACUACAGAACUGCAUUUGAAACUGUUACUCUGGAGUGUGGGAGAGGUAGGUGGAAUGCUUGGUGUAGGGGUGAAAUCCGUAGAGAUCAAGAGGAAUACUCAUUGCGAAGGCGACCUGCUGGAACAUUACUGACGCUGAUGCACGAAAGCGUGGGGAGCGAACAGGAUUAGAUACCCUGGUAGUC
rnacentral:rRNA from 1 species